rnacentral:misc_RNA from 1 species
CAAGCACGCGUCUCUCCUCUCGUGCAUCCUUCUCUGUGUGCCUCUCUGUUCUGCGUGUCUCUCUCUCUUUUUCUCUCUCUAUAUCACUCGACUCGUCCAGUGCUCCGAACGGAAAUCAAAGGAAUGGCCAACGUGGACGCCGCAGCCCACCGCGCCGACGGCGGGCGGCACGGCGGCGGCGGGGGCGGCAGCGGAGACGAAUCUAAGGCGAAGAAAACGAAGCCGGAGGAGUACGAGCACCCGUUCUGGUACGUGUAUCGCCAGCGCGGCGUCAGCUACUGGGACUAUAAAAACGCGAGGGUCGACUUCAACGCGAACUUGGCCCCGUACGAGCUGCUGCAGAAAAUCGGGCGCGGCAAGUAUUCGGAGGUGUUUCGUGGCCGGAACCGCAACAACGGAUGCCUGUGUGUCCUCAAGCUGCUCAAGCCGGUGCGCUACCAGAAGAUUCUGCGCGAGAUUAGCAUCCUGCGCAACCUCUGCGGUGGCCCCAACGUCGUCCGCCUUCUCGAUGUGCUGCGCGACGCGGAGUCACAGACGGUGGUGCUCGUCACAGAGUACGUGCACAACCCGACAACGCUGCGCAACCUCCUCUACUCGAACAAGCUCUCCAACUUCGACAUGCGCUACUACCUGUACGAGAUUCUACGCUCGCUGGACUUCGCCCACCGCCGCGGCAUCUUCCACCGCGACAUCAAGCCCUACAAUGUCAUGAUCGACCACGAGCGCAAGAUCCUGCGUGUGAUCGACUGGGGGCUGGGCGAGUACUACAUCCACGGACAGGCGCUCAACUGCGGUGUGGCAACACGGCACUACAAGGGGCCGGAGCUGCUGGUCGGCUACCGCCACUACGACUACUCGCUAGACAUCUGGUGCCUCGGGUGCGUACUGGCAGGCAUGCUCUUCCGCAGCGACCCCUUCUUCGUCGGCGCCAACAACGAGGAUCAGCUCCUUCAGAUUGUGGCGGUGUUUGGCAAGAAGGCUCUGUACCGCUACCUCGACAAGUACCAGUGCCGCAUAUCGCGCGUCGUAGAGUCGAGCAUGAGCGCCCUCCCUGACGAGCACGUCGACUGGCGCCGGUACAUCAAGAGGGGAUCCAUCCAGGAGUCGUGGUGCGACGCGACCGCGUUGGACUUGCUCGAUAAGAUGCUGCAGUUCGACCAUCAGGACCGCAUCAUGGCCCAUGAGGCGAUGCAGCAUCCCUUCUUUGCCCCCGUGCGUGAUGCGCUGGCAAAGGACUCGCAGGAGCAUUAUCCCGUAGCGCGGCACUGAGCGAAACGGAAAGAGACACCGAAAGACCGGGUGUGCGGCACGCCGGCGCCACCACCCCCACCAACGCCGCCACCGCUGCCAGAUCAGGGGGCUGAGGGAGAGGCACGGCCACGUACGCUGUGGCUUCUCUCUGCAUGUGCCGAUAGUAAUGAUGGAGAUUGGAAGGGGGAGAGAGAGCAUGGGUGGACGGAUCGGGUAGGCGCGCGGGUGGCUCGGGCAGCAUGAUGCCGUCGCCAGCUCGACUGGUGGGCGUCAGUGCUGCUUCUGCUGUCUUGUCUCUUUUCUUUGCUGCGGUCUGCACCGCCUCAUCUGUGGAUCGCCCCCUCCUCCCUCUUUCACUCUCUCUCUCUCUCUCGCUGUGCCGAGCUGCACGGGCUUGUCAUGGGCCCUUUUGGUUUGUGUGUUGAUGUUCCGUGGAUGCGACGGCUUUAAGGUGUGUUGGUACACUGUCGUCGCCCACCCCCUCCUCUUCCUCUUCCUCCCCCGCUGUGCGUACCUUCCUGCCCAUGUGCUUGUAUACGUGUCUCCCAGCAUCUCGCUCGCUUCAUCGCAUCCGCUCGCUGGAUCUCUCAGCGGCCAUGUAAGUGUGUGUGCGUGCCCUCCUUCCUUGCGCCGACUUGCUUUAAGCGCUCUUCCCCCCCCUCCAACUCUCCUUUCACGUGGGCGUCGCGGGCUCUUUCAUCUGUGAACGCACUGUGCUGUGCCGUGCUCCGGCUUGGACGGAGGAGGGCUGCGUUACAUGGCUGUUGCCGUUUCCAUGAAGUUCAUCGCCGUCGCUGCUAGUCGACAGUAUCGUUGCUCGACCACGUUUUCAGGGGGAGAGGGGCCUCCGUGGCGCUGUCGGCACCUCUCUGUGCGAUGGAGUGCCUCUAUAUACGCGUGCCUGCUUGCCUGCUCGCCUGUGAAGGCACUCACGCUGUCUCGCGCGCUCUCGCGCCAGAUCCCACAGGAGGAGUGGUGGUGGGAGUGGGGUGGAUGGCGUAAAAUGCUAAGCGCAAGCAGAAACGAAAAGGGGCUGCGCACGCUUCGUCCCCUCACUUGUCUUGCUGGCGAGACGGGCGGGUAUACACAGACGGAGGACAGGCGAGCAUAGGAGUAGGGAGGGGGUCGGGCGUGCGUGCGUGUGCGGAAGGGAGGGCAACAAGACUCGGAAGACGGGGCAUGAUGGAGGGUGAUGACUUUGUGCAACACUGUCCUGUGAUCUUGACAUGCUCUGCUUGCCGAGGUGUGCUUGUCUCUGCGCCCGUGCUCUCUGCAUGAAUGACGCUGUUGCCGCUCGGCUCUGCAGUGCGGGCGGGGAGUGAUGGGAAUGUGCAGCGCAGAGCGAUGGAAGCCCGACGUGUGCGGCCCCUGCACCCGUUCAUCCCUAUCGGCGCGCGCACACACACACACAUAUGCGCGCAUGCGAUGACAUCAGUUGCAGACGUAAAGCGAAAAGGAAAGGAUGUGAAUACAUCCAAGAAGUGCGCCGUCGUUCACGAAUCAGUGACCGAUAGGCCUGCAUGCGGGCCCCCUCCCUCCCCCCUAUCCGCUUCUCCAGCCUCUGUCUCCCGCCUGCGCUUGCCUCUCCGUGGCUUCUCGCCCGCUUUCCCACGCCCUCCUGUGCCAUCCUCCUUGUGCGGGGUCGUUCUCCACGACGAGGCGCACCGGCGCGCUGGUGCGGUGAUUGGAAGCGCGCGCACCCCUCAUCGACACGUAGGCGCACUUCCAUCUCUUCUCCUCCUCUACGCUUGAACGCUCCAG